ensembl:lncRNA
GAAUCAAACGCUUGCUAUGGUGAAAUGUGACUGAAACCCUCCGCAGAGCCAAGAGCCGCUGGAGAACCCAGCUCCGAUAAGUGCCAGUGGCUAGAAGAAUUGAUUUCCAACUAGAAGAAUUGAUUUCCAACUAGAAGACACUGGAGCUGAAGCUCCAAUACUUUGGCCACCUGAUGCAAAUAGCCAACUCAUUGGAAAGAUCCUGAUUCUGGAAAAGAUUGAAAGCAGAAGAAGGGGGUGACAGAGGAUGAAAUGGUUGGAUGGCAUCACCAAUUCAAUGGACAUGAAUUUGAGCAAACACUGGGAGAUGGGAAAGGACAGGGAAACCUGGCAUACUGCAGUCCAUGGGGUCACAAAGAGUCAGACAUGACUGAGCAGCUGAAGAACAACAAUCUAGAAGAAAGUCUCUGCCCUUCAUAGGUGAUACAAGCAAAGGUAUUAUUUCUGCCCCUAAGGAGCUAUCAAUCCAGUUUCAGAAACUUGUGGGAUUCCCUAGCUUUUCCCUAAAAGCUUUUAGGAGAACAAAGUCAUGGCCCCCAGGUACUAACUCAUAAAAUAGUGUCCCUAAGAAAGGCUUAAAACUCAACAUUAAGAAAACUAAGAUCAUGGUAUCUUGUCCCAUCACUUCUUGGCAAAUAGAUGGGGAAACAAUGGAAACAGUGAGAGACUUUAUUUUGGGGAGCUACAAAAUCACUGCACAUGGUGACUGCAGCCAUGAAAUUUAAAGAUGCUUGCUCCUUGGAAAAAAAGAUAUGAACAACCUAGACAGCAGAGACAUUACUUUGCCAACAAAGGUCCAGUCUAGUCAAAGCUACGGUUUUUCCAGUAGUCAUGUAUGGAUGUGAGAGUUGGACUAUAAAGAAAGCUGAGUGCUGAAGAACUGAUGUUUUUUAAUUGUGGUGUUGGAGAAGACUCUUGAGAUUCCCUUGGACUGUAAGGAUAUCCAACCAGUCCAUCCUAAAGGAAACCAGUCUUGAAUAUUCAUUGGAAGAACUGAUGCUGAAGCUGAAAUUCCAAUACUUUGGCCACCUGAUGUGAAGAACUGACUCAUUGGAAAAGGCCCUGAUGCUGGCAAAGAUUGAGGGCAGAAGGAGAAGGGGAUGACAGAGGAUGAGAUGGUUGGAUGGCAUCACUGACUCUAUGGACAUGAGUUGAGUAACCUCCAGGAGUUGGUGAUGGACAGGGAAGCCUGGCAUGUUGCAGUCCAUAGGGUCGCAAAGAGUCAGAUAUAGGACUGAGCAACUGAACUGAAGAAAGGUUACACUGCCUUGGCCUAUUCAAAUUCCUUGUGCUUGUCAUCAUAUCAUUGGCUUUUGAAUAGACUUUUUAAUCUUCAGUGAAUUUAGUACUUCUUAGGGGCUACAUCUUUUAAAUUCCAGUGGUCCUCAAUUCCCAGCUUAUUGUUAUAAACACAAAGUACAUCAAUGACUGAAUGAGUUAAAGAGUAAAUGAAUAAACUUUCAAUAUGUCAUUCAUAGAGUUGACAAAAUGAUCUAAUUCAUCUUCAGGUUAAGAUCCAGGACAUUAUGACCCAAUGAAAGAGGAAUGAAAGGACCCCUGUUUGCACUUUUUGUUGUUUAGUCAGUCGGUUGUGUCCAGCUCGUGGACUAUAGCCCACUGGGCUCUUCUGUCUAUGGGAUUUCCCAGGCAAGAAUACUGGAGUGGAUUGACAUUUCCUUCUCCAGGGGAUCUUCCCGACCCAGGCAUCAAACUAGCAUCUCCUGCAUUGAUUCCCCACACAGUGAAGCGACUGCACAGAAGAAUCCCUCCUGCCAUAUGGAAUUUUGUCAGCUCAUCAUGCCUUCCUUAAAGCCAAGGUUUGGGAAGAAUCGCUGUUGUCACAGUUGAGGAUGAGAUUUUUAUCCGCAGCAAGGCUGAGGAUGCUAGAUUAUACAACUUCUUCCAGGAAUAUCUGUCUGUGUAACUACAGGAAAAAUUUUUCGUCAGCCAAAGGAAUGGAUCUGUAGUGGAUCUAAAAUUUGGUCUGCAAAACUAGAGUGCAAGAAAUAUCACAUUUAUUUCUUGUCUUCCUUGGCUUCACGUGCACUUUUCUCUGAGAUGGCGAGAAAUCCAAUCCCUGUCAGCACUGGGGCUUUAGUUACACCUCCCCAGUCAUGCAAAAUUCCCUGUCAUCAUCUGGAUUUGACAAUGUUAGGAGAAGGCCCUGGUCUUCUGUCCCACGUGGUCAUCACUGCUGUGCUUGCUUCCCAACCCCAAGAUGCCCCCCAGAGGCGCGGAAUUCCUCAGCUUCAAGCCAAGCCUAGGCUCCCAGGAGCUCGGGUGUUAUAUCUUCCCAUCCCACCCCCACACCACAGAGAAAUCUCCUUUUGGGGGCUCUGUGAAUAAGUGUGCAAUAGAGAGAAGAGUCUGGCACAUUCCCCAGUUUCCUUUCCUCCUUUGAGCCCUGUCAGUUCUUCCUUUUGAACUCCAAGCAGUACAAUUCAUCUGCCCACUCCUCUUCCAGAAGCAUCCAGUGUCGCCAGUCUGAGUUUUCACAACGGAGCACUAAGCAUCAAAGAA